rnacentral:misc_RNA from 1 species
AGAUGAAGAACGUAGCGAAAUGCGAUAAGUAGUGUGAAUUGCAGAAUUCAGUGAAUCAUCGAAUCUUUGAACGCACAUUGCGCCCCUCGGUAUUCCGUGGGGCAUGCCUGUUCGAGCGUCAUUUACACCCUCAAGCUCUGCUUGGUGUUGGGCGUCUGUCCCGCCUCCGUGCGCGGACUCGCCUCAAAGUCAUUGGCAGCGGUCUCGUCGGCUUCUCGCGCAGCACAUUUGCGCUUCUUGGAGCCCCGGCGGAUCAGCGUCCAGCAAGCAAUUUCAUGACUUGACCUCGGAUCAGGUAGGGAUACCCGCUGAACUUAAGCAUAUCAAUAAGCGGAGGA